rnacentral:lncRNA from 1 species
ACUUACACCUGGGAGAGGGAGGCAGAAGGUUAGUAUCAAAGUGAUGUGGUGUGAGGAAGACUUGUGUUGCCAUUUCAGGCUUUGAGGUUGGGGAAGGAGCCGCAAGCCAAAAUAUGUGGGCAGCAAGGAAGCAGAUUCUCCUCAGAACCUCCCAGAGGGGCACAGCCCCCGGGUGCUUUGAUGUCGGUACACUGAGACCCGUUUUGGACUUCUAACCUCCAGAAAUAUUAGCCCUGAACUAACUGCUGCCAAUCCUCCUCUUUUUGCUGAGGAAGACUGGCCCUGAGCUAACAUCUGUGCCCAUCUUCCUCUACUUUAUACGUGGGACGCCUACCACAGCAUGGCUUGCCAAGUGGUGCCGUGUCUGCACCCGGGAUCCGAACCAGCGAACCCCGGGCCACCAAAGCGGAACAUGCACACUUAACUGCUGCACCACCCGGACAGCCCCAAUUUACCCUUUUUUUUUAAGACUUGGAAAUGUCCUAAUCAGAUGUCUCGUCGAUCUGCUGCCCAGGUGAGGGGAGUGGAGUCGGAAGAGAGCCUCCAGCUGUUGCUUCCUUCAGGAUCAGAAGCUGCAGAGAAGAACCUUAAGCAAGGCCAUGUACUCCCAGGGCAGCCACAUCCUCUGACUGAGGGAGGCAGAGGCACAAAGGCCCAGCUGUUCCUCUCCAAAGGGGAUGCCCGAUGGGCCACACUAGCUCCAUCACUCCUCGCUGAAUUGGCCAAGGCUUUGUUUCCCUUUUUCCUCUGCUCAAUACUGCUUCUUUCCCUCGCAUCCUGCUUUUUCACAUGUGCUGAUCCCUAAUAAACAUCUUGUACUUCAAACUUGGGCUAAUUGUUUGCUGCCAGAGAACGUGAUCUAAGACACUAUUUCUUUCUGUCCAUAUUGCUCUUUGUUCAGAUUAGUUCAGAAUAUAUUUGGAACCAAGGACAGAUCCUCUAUUUAUAUUAAAUGUGAUUUUAAAAAUAUUGAACCACAAAAUAUUGAAUUCCAGUUUGUCAGGAUCAUUUUGGAUAUAAUUUUACCCUCCUAGGCAUUUGCUUCACCCAGAUUUGUGUCAUCUUAACAUACGAUUACCAGCAACUAUUUCCCAAAGUUUUUGGUAAAAUGUUAACCAAGUCGUUUUUGAAGAUGAGUCCUAUUCACUAGUCUGGACUAACACAUGUCAAUUAAUUAGUGUUUACUGGUUAUGAUUAUUCAGUUAAGAAUUGUUUUAUUCUAUUUUGAUAUUGCCAGAGUAACAUUAAAGAGAUUAUUACUCCUAAAUAAUUUUUUAUUGCAAUAUAAAUUAUAUACGGAAAGGUGCACAAAACCUAAGUCUAAGAUUAACGUGUGGGCGCACUCCUGUGCCCGCCAUGUCAAUCAGGAAUUGGAAUAUUACUAGCAGCUCAAAAGCCCUUCAAACCCCUAACAUGAUCCUCUUUCCUAAAAGUAGCUGUGUUCCUAGCUUUAACAUCAUAGGUUAUUUUGAUUUUAUUUUAGUACUUUUAUGUAAAUUGAAUGUUAUGGCUGAUAGUCCUUUGUGUGUCUGAGAUUAUUCAUGGAAUGUUAUGUUUGUGAGAUUGAUAAAUAUUAUUGUGUACAGUAGUACUACAUUGAUUUUUAUUGCUGUAUAGUAUCCCAUUUUGUGAACAGAGCUCAAUUUGUUCAUCCAUUCUAGCAUAGAUGGACAAUUUUCUAGUUUUUGAUUGUUUCAAAAUGUUGCCUUGAAUAUUUUUACAUUUUUGGGGUACCUAUGUUGGGUUCCUGUGGUCUGUAUACAUAAGAAUGCAAUUGACGGGUCCUGGGAUAUAUCCAUAUUUCUCUUUGACAGAUAUCACCAGUUUUCCAAAGAAGUUGUACAAUUUUGUACUUCCACCUACAGCAUAUAAGCAUUCCAGCUGCUCCAUGUCCUCCCCAACACGUUGUAUGUUCAUAAUCUAUUUCACUUGCCUUUCAUUAACAGUUAGUGAAAUAGAGCACAGGGGUAUUGAUCUCUUGGAUUUCCUCUUCUGUGAGGUUCUUCUAAAUAUCCUUUAUGAUUUUUUUAGACUAGACUGUUUUUCCCUAUUGAUCACCAGCAAAUUUUACAUGACUUGGAUACAAGCAGUUGGUUGGUUAUACAUAUGAA